CAAAAAAAUUAUGAUAUCCUGUGCUGAUAUUAUGGCAUCCUGCGUUGAAAUUACGAUUUUCUGCAUAGGAUGUUAUAAUUUUUUCAUAGUAUAUCAUAAUUUUUAUGAAGGAGUAUCAUAAUUUUUAUGAAGGAGUAUUAUAAUUCUGUGAAGGAGGGGUGUCAUAAUUUUUAUAAAGAGGUGUCAUAAUUCUGUGAAAGGGUGUCAU
rnacentral:lncRNA from 1 species